AGUUCGGAAUUUCGCCGCUAGGCGGCGGCACUCUAGAGAAAUAACGUGCAGAUGUACAGUCAGUGGAAAACUUAAUGAAACGGUGUCUUUUACUCAGGCGUAAAUCUUGUAUUCCGGGUCUUUCUUAGAUUCGUUGUAAAAUGUGUUAUACAAGAUGGACAGUUCUAGUUGGUAGCUUGACGUCUACGUUGAAAGAAGCUGAGUAUUCGUUUACUGCUCACUAAUAAUGUUCUUUUACCAAUGGUAAUUGUGGCUUUACGUUACCAUGCUAUAAAUUUAUGGCUGCUGCGGGAACCUUGUGUGAAUUUAUCACUAAGCGCGGAAUUAUCUUUACAUUGCUGGGAACAUAUGGAAAAUUGUAUACUCCUUUACGGCAGGCUCGAGUUCCAUGACUAUUUUAAGACGAUAACGUCAUUCGGAUGAUUCCCAUGUUGAGUAACUUGGAGAAAAAUUGAUAAAUGGAAAAUUUCGAUGGUACAAUUCUUCGAGUAUUCUUGAUGCUGAUCGCCAAAAGCGCAGAACUUGUUACUUAUGCUAAUAAUUUCAAUAGAAUAGUCCUGUACUACAAGCAUUGUCACAAUGUGAAGUUUUCGUGGGCCAUUAAAGUCAUUGGCACUGAUUAUCACCAAAUGUUAAAUUAAUUAUACGAUACGGUUGCUUUUGCGAGUGCAUAUAGGUGAAUUUGGCGCGUAUCUUUGUGUCAAUGACUUUUUUGACUUACGUUUACCUUAGCUGACAGCCAUUCGAGUAGAUAAGUAUAAAAUAACUGAUAAUCAAAUUGUACUGUAUCAUAUCAUUAAAUAUACUAGUCAAAAUGUUA